rnacentral:rRNA from 1 species
CUAUGCGCCUUGCCAGCCCGCUCAGGUGUGCCAGCAGCCGCGGUAAUACAGAGGUCUCAAGCGUUGUUCGGAAUCACUGGGCGUAAAGCGUGCGUAGGCGGUUUCGUAAGUCGUGUGUGAAAGGCGGGGGCUCAACCCCCGGACUGCACAUGAUACUGCGAGACUAGAGUAAUGGAGGGGGAACCGGAAUUCUCGGUGUAGCAGUGAAAUGCGUGGAUAUCGAGAGGAACACGCGUGGCGAAGGCGGGUUCCUGGACAUUAACUGACGCUGAGCACGAAGGCCAGGGAGCGAAAGGG